rnacentral:lncRNA from 1 species
UGACCAAGCAUCUUAGGAAUGGAUAUAACUAUGAAAUUGCAUGUAUGCCAUAUUUUUAAGACCUAGUCCAAAAUGAUAGUCGGGAAAGAACAGAAUCUGCGGACAGCAAAAUUGAUGAAGAGAACGAAGAAGAAGAUAACGAAAAAGACGAUGACGACGACAACGAUGAUGAUGAUGAUGAUGAUGAUGAUGAUGAUGACAAUAAAGAUAAGAAAACGAUAAAGAUAGCAAAGAAGGUGAGUUUUGUAUUCAUUAUUUGGUUGAUUAUGAGGUUGAGCAUGAUACAAUUAAUUAUCUAUCACAAUUCCCAAAGUAAAUGUUAUGAACGGAACGGAAGCUGAGUUUGAUAAAACAAACUGAUGGCUCGAUAAUUUUUCAAUCCUACCUUGCGAAAACCGAGUUCAAUAAUUGUUUUAUUGGUCAUGCCCGUUGUAUAGUUGGUCAUCUCACUGAUCUCAAAAUAUAACUGUUUGUCAGAAGUUAAGGAGGCAAAGGUUCUAAAACAUUUAAAAGUUUGAAAAAUCGUUUCACACAAAGAUUGUAGAACUUUAAUGAAACAAUAAGAAUUGAUUUAGUAGGAAAUCCUGAUAGGGUAAGAUUGCUUUGACUGUUUAUGUAUAACUUUGUUGAUCAAGUUUUGCCUAAAAUAUGCACGGCUUUCCUAUUCAUUCUAUGUAAAAGUUUCUUAAUUUUAAUAAAUUAACUUGUGUUCAUUUUUUUAUAAUAGCACAAAAUAAAAUGGGAGAAUAUUAUUUUCAUCAAACCUGUUCGAUUUAAAUUUAUAAUAUUUUUUUGGUCGAGUUUCCAUAUUGUGUAUUCGUAUUUCCAUAGCAUGGCCUCAUAACAUUGAAUAAGAUUUCCUUUACAAAACAAUUCGUACUUCCCCUGACUCCACGAAAUUUCUUGCCACAGGAGAUUGGGCCUAGCCAGUAUGCCCUCGUAGCUCCGCCAUUUUGUAACUGAGAAUAUUUAGGAGUGUGCAUUCAAUCAUCCAAAUACUUUCCAGGGGUGGAGCUAGCCCUUUCUUAAUGGGAAGGAGGGGGUUUAUUUUAAGUAUCUCUUCUCGUUCAGUUCCCUUAAAUGUUUCCCUAAAUUUCCUCAAAUUUCACUAAAAUAUUUCAGUUGUUUUCCUUCCUUUCCAAUUAUGUUUUGCCGACUGGGCACAAACUGACCGACUUGGAUAAAACAAUUGGCCAACUACACGAAGAUUGAGGGAUGUUCAACCACCUUCCCCCUACAUCCCUGUCUAACGCCGCGCCUGACGUUCAGAAUAAUUUAUUGAUCGAUUAAUGAGCGAUGUUUCUGUAUUAUAUUUUAGAGACCUCUUCCCUUUCCACGAGUUGUGAUCAAAAGGGGUCCAUUUAGCGGUGUACAGCCCAUACGACGUCCAUUCAUGAGGAAAGUUAUACGCCAACCAAUCCCUAUGCCACAGCAACUUUUUCGAAUGUUUGGUCCAAACCGUCGCAUGUCAUGGUUUCCACGAUAUGGAUGAUCCAAGUUUCUUAAUUAAUUAAUAACAAGAAAUAUUUGCAGACAUUUAAAGACAUUACUGAUUUGACUUCUAUAUUGAGUCAUUGCAUGUCAUUUGGACAGCCGAGGAUAUGCUAUAUGGUUGGUAGAUGCUUUAAAAAACAAUACCGUUUUGCAUUUAUGAACUGAAUCACAUAUUAUGUGCAUAACACUAAAGGUAAUUAGGUAAUAUUGUGAUAUAUACAGUACCAUUAAAAUGACUAUAAAAUAGAUAUGUAAUAACUAAGAUUAAUGUGUAAAAAUAUUUUCAUGGAUACUUUGACAUGAUUUUCUGUGUAAUGCACGAUAAAAAACUUAUGAUAAAACGGUAUAUAUUUACAUAAGACAGUUCAAAAGUUCUCAUCGUUCUUAACCGACUAAUCAUAUAUAGGCC